CCCUCAUCCACAACCCACACACCUGUGCACCAAAGGGACGGCGGGUGGAUAACGCACGCCGUCUCGCUUUAACAAGCUCAAAAGUCUAUUUUGAAUGUCAUUUAUUCGGGCUAGCCCCGAUGUAACUUAAACAUAACAACUUUCAACAACGGAUCUCUUGGCUCUCGCAUCGAUGAAGAACGCAGCGAAAUGCGAUAAGUAAUGUGAAUUGCAGAAUUCAGUGAAUCAUCGAAUCUUUGAACGCACCUUGCGCCCAUUGGUAUUCCGAUGGGCAUGCCUGUUUGAGUGUCUUGAAAUCAUCAAGCCCGUUCGGUUUCACCGCCGAGCGGGGUUGGACUUGGGGGCUUGCCGCUUCGCCGCGGCUCCCCUUAAAUGCAUCGGUUUCGGGUCUCUGUGGGAGUCACCCCUUGGGCGUUGUAUAACCCUCGCUGUCUGGGAACUCCACGCGACGUCCGCGUCGUUGAAGGGCCUUGAAGAAACCUCGACCUGCUGUAGAGUGGCGGUCAAUGUUAAAUCGAGAUCUGACCUCAAAUCAGGUAGGACUACCCGCUGAACUUAAGCAUAUCAAUAAGCGGAGA
rnacentral:rRNA from 1 species